rnacentral:rRNA from 1 species
UACAGAGGUCUCAAGCGUUGUUCGGAAUCACUGGGCGUAAAGCGUGCGUAGGCUGUUUCGUAAGUCGUGUGUGAAAGGCGCGGGCUCAACCCGCGGACGGCACAUGAUACUGCGAGACUAGAGUAAUGGAGGGGGAACCGGAAUUCUCGGUGUAGCAGUGAAAUGCGUAGAUAUCAGGAGGAACACCGGCGGCGAAGGCGGCCUGCUGGACUGAAACUGACGUUGAGGCUCGAAAGCGUGGGGAGCAAACAGG